AGAGUUUGAUCCUGGCUCAGAACGAACGCUGGCGGCGCGUUUUAAGCAUGCAAGUCGAGCGGUAAGCUAACUUCGGUUAGCCUAGAGCGGCGGACGGGUGAGUAACACGUGGAUAAUCUGCCUCUUUGUUUGGGAUAGCUUGUGGAAACAUAAGGUAAUACCAAAUGUGAUCUAUAAUGCAAAGUGUUAUAGAGGAAAGGCGCUGAGGCGUCGCAAAGAGAUGAGUCCGCGGCCCAUUAGCUAGACGGUAGGGUAAAGGCCUACCGUGGCGAUGAUGGGUAGCCGGCCUGAGAGGGUGAUCGGCCACAUUGGAACUGAGACACGGUCCAGACUCCUACGGGGGGCAGCAGCUAAGAAUCUUCCGCAAUGGACGAAAGUCUGACGGAGCGACGCCGCGUGAACGAUGAAGGCCGUGAGGUUGUAAAGUUCUUUUCGAGAGGAGGAAUAAGGCUUGUAGGGAAUGACAGGCUGAUGACGUUAAUCUCGGAAUAAGCCCCGGCUAACUACGUGCCAGCAGCCGCGGUAACACGUAGGGGGCAAGCGUUGUUCGGAAUUAUUGGGCGUAAAGGGCGUGCAGGCGGUCUUGCAAGUCUGACGUGAAAGAUCUCGGCUUAACCGAGGGAACGCGUUGGAAACUGUAAGACUUGAGUACAGAAGGGGACAUUGGAAUUCCAGGUGUAGGGGUGAAAUCUGUAGAUAUCUGGAAGAACACCGGUGGCGAAGGCGAAUGUCUGGUCAUGUACUGACGCUGAGACGCGAAGGUGCGGGGAGCAAACAGGUUUAGAUACCCUGGUAGUCCGCACAGUAAACGAUGUACACUAGGUGGCAGGUCAUGAGACUUGGUACCGAAGCUAACGCAUUAAGUGUACCGCCUGGGGAGUAUGCUCGCAAGGGUGAAACUCAAAGGAAUUGACGGGGGCCCGCACAAGCGGUGGAGCAUGUGGUUUAAUUCGAUGAUACGCGAGAAACCUUACCAGGGCUUGACAUAUAUUGGACGAACUUAGAGAUAAGUUUUCCCUUCGGGGUCGAUAUACAGGUGCUGCAUGGCUGUCGUCAGCUCGUGCUGUGAAGUGUUGGGUUAAGUCCCGCAACGAGCGCAACCCCUACUGCCUGUUACCAUCACGUUAUGGUGGGGACUCAGGUGGGACUGCCGGUGACAAACCGGAGGAAGGUGGGGACGACGUCAAGUCAUCAUGGCCCUUAUGUCCUGGGCUACACACGUGCUACAAUGGCCGGUACAAAGCGCAGCGAAGCCGCGAGGCCAAGCGAAUCGCAAAAAGCCGGUCCCAGUACGGAUUGGAGUCUGCAACUCGACUCCAUGAAGUUGGAAUCGCUAGUAAUCGCAUAUCAGCAUGAUGCGGUGAAUACGUUCCCGGGCCUUGUACACACCGCCCGUCACACCAUCCGAGUUGGGGGUACCCGAAGUCGCUAGCCUAACCUUUUUAAGGGGGGCGGUUCCGAAGGUAUGCUUGGCGAGGAGGGUGAAGUCGUAACAAGGUAGCCGUACCGGAAGGUGCGGCUG
rnacentral:rRNA from 1 species